rnacentral:tmRNA from 1 species
GGGGCUGCUUUUUGGCUUCGACGUAAGUAUUAGUAUUUAACUAGCAAGACGAAUUUCUUUGCGUCAGUAAGAUAAAUUAAAUAUAACUGGAAACAGCUAUAAAAAUGCUGUUGCUUAUGCCUAAUUUUUAAGGUAGCAACAGGUUCUAUUAAUUCUUUGUCUGCGAGAAUUAAAUAGGACUUAUAAAGCAGACUAUAUUAUGAUUUUAGUUUAGACUUCAUAACGAAUUAUCUUAAACUAGUAAAUGUAUACGAUUGUGAGUUUUCUGUACAUUUUACGAAUUGUCAUAACUCAAUAAUCUUGUAGAAGGUUAAAUUACUGUAUUUGCGGACAGGGGUUCGAAUCCCCUCAGCUCCACCA